UUAUAAGUAAAAAUUUAAAGUAUUUUAUUUCAUUAUAUGAAAAAAAAUAAGAUAAUUUGUUCAUAUUUUUAUUUGGAAAAUUUUUUAUGUUUUAUAUACCUAAAUAUCUGCUUAUUACCAUUUUUAAAUAAAAUAUAUGACAUAUAUAUAUACAUGCGUUCUGAGUAUAAACAAAAAAUUAAGCUAUAACAAUGUUAGAUUUAUUGGAAAUCAAAACACUAAUAAAAUAUACGACUAUAUAUAAAAAUAAAUGUAUUCGUUAAAAGCAUUAGCUUGAUGAAAUGGUACAAUGAGAAAAAAGUUUGUCAGUAGUGUUAAGUUAUAUAUAUAUGUAUAUAUAUAUAUAUACACAUAUCACUGGUUCUAUAAAUUUAUCCUUUUCUGUUUAUUCAUGAACAUAUGAUAAACACUAUACCUAAUCAUUUUGUUAUAUAUUUUUUAUUGCAUUGUAUAUAUGUUUAGAGUAAUAUGUAUAUACACUCCAUAUCAAUAUAAUUGUCAUUAUGCCAAAUAGUUAUGUGCUUUUCUCUUUUUGUUAUUAUCACAUCUUCUAUUUAAUAACUUUUUUUAAAAUCUUUUAAUAAGCUAUAGAACAAAGAAAGAAAGAAAAAAAAAAAAAAAAAAUGGACAAGAAAGCAGAAGUAUUACACCAUAAUGAUAAAGAAGUAUAUCAAAACCAGAAUAGAAACAAUAGUAAUACUAAUAUAAAUACUGAACAAUCUGUGUUACCACGUGUUUGUAACAUUAAUAAAACACACAAUUAUUCAAAAAAAAAUAUAUCUAAUAUACAUAAAACUAAUUUAAUUGAUAUAAAAAAUAAAAUUGAUGAAAAAGUUUACAACAGCAUCAAUACAUCAAAAUAUAAAUUAAAAAAUUAUUUCAAUCGUAUUAAAUAUGAUUUCCCUAUAAAACAAUAUGUUAAAAUGUUAGUUACAGUCUCCAUUUUUAAUUAUUUACCUUUAAAUAUACGUAAUAUAUCAAAUGAUGUAUAUAUAUGUGGAAAAUAUUUCGAUCUUACAGAUUCAGGAUAUUUUAACAUUUUUAUAAUUUUAUGUAAAUCAAAAGUAUUAUUUACAUACAGAUCAAAUUUUUUAUUAAAAAUUGGAAAUAAUAAUAAAUUUCAAAACAAUUUUCCUAGCUCUAGCAGUACCAAUAAUAACACAAAUGCUGAAGAGAGAACAUCUAAUUCUAGUGAUAAAGUAACGAUAAACACAUUAUAUGAGAGUAGCAAUAUCACAACAAGCACACCAUCUACCAGCAAUAAUAUAACAGCAGAAGCACAACUUGCUAGUAACACUAUCACAUUAGACACACCAUUUGUUAGUAAUAAUAUCACAAUAGACACAACAUCUGCUAGUACUCAUGCAACAAUAAAUACAUAUACUUUGAAAAAUAAUAUUAAUACCAUGUGCACUUCCAUUUGUAACUAUAUAAAUGAAAAGUUUAAUAAAGAUACGUCUGACCACGAAACUGAAAAUGUACAUAUUAAUAAUUUUAAUUUUAAUACUAGUAAAACAGUAACAAAUAUGAGUAACAAUAAUAAUAACUAUUUAAGUUAUAGUUAUGUAAGUAAAAAUCAUAAUGAUAUGUAUAAGUUGGGGAAAAUAAAAAAAAAAAACAGUAAAUAUUAUAAAAAAAAGAUAAUAAAUUUUACAAAUAUAUCAGAUGAUAUUUUAAAAAAUAUUUAUUUUGACCAAAACGGACGCUUUUACAUAAAUUGUGAUAAAACUAAUUCUGCUGUUCACCAUAAAAAUAAACAACAAACACUAUUACUACAUGAUAACAAUAGCAAUGAUAACAACAUCAGUGAUAGUAACAGCUCAUGUUAUCACGACGAAAACACUAGUACCAGUUUUGCACAUAAUAAAAAUGUUAUUACAGAUGAUAAUACUAACAAAAUUGAUAUUGAUUGCAAAAGACUACCAAACAAAUUGACAAAUAAAAAAAAAAAAAUGAUUUUUAAUAAUAUGACAUUUGAAAGUUGGCCCCAUUACACUAAAAAAAAAAAAAAAUGUGAAUUUGACGACUUAACAUCAUCUAUAUAUGCAAAAAAAAAAACAAAAUUUGCAAAGAAUAUUAAAAUGAGAAAAAAAAAACAAUAUAUAAGAUUGAAAAAGAAAAUCAAAUUAAAAUCGAAUAAACAAGCAGACAAUACAAUAUCUAUAUACAUAGGUGAUAGCGGAUGGGGAUGUAUGAUAAGGGUAGUUCAAAUGGUACUAGCAAAUAUAUUUUUAAAGUAUAAACUUUUUAAAGAAUAUGUUUUUUUUCAUAAUAAAAAUGAUUAUUGGUUGUAUAAAGAUUAUUUAAACAAAUUAUAUCAUGUAGAAAAAGAAAAACUAAAAAAUAAUCCUAAAAAACUUAAUCAAAAUUAUAUCAACGCAAAACAAAAUGAACACAUAUCAAAAAAUGAAAUUAAUAACAAUAUAUUAAAACAAAAUGAUAAAAUGAAUUAUAUUGUAUCCACAUCCAACUAUUUUAUAAAAAAAAUACAUUCAACUAUUUUUUAUAAUACAGAUCAUAACUAUCAAAUAAAUGAUGACUAUUGCUAUUCUUCAUCAUCCUCUCAUAAUUUAUAUUACAAAACUAAAAAAAAAUCAAAAGAAAACAAAUUGAAUAAUAACAAACCAAAUGACGCAUUAGUGUGUGAAAAACAACAUAUACAUAAG
ensembl:lncRNA